CUCUGAAAGACUUCAUUAUAAAAGGGCAAGAUGAGGUGGUUGGAGCAGACAGGUACAUGGCCCAUUGCAUAGGAACUUUGCUGAGGAAGCCUCUAACCUCCCAGAGCCUUGUUUCCCCUGGCAGGAAAGGCUGCUCUCUGGCUACUAUGCAUUCCGGGUGGUGCAUUCCAUGUCUGGCUGGUGCUUGGCGGGCCCCAGAGAAUGGCAGAUACCAAAGCACAACAGAAGACACCUCAGCGUCCCUGGAGUCCAGGAGCUUUGCAAUUACGCGGUGUUUCAGCUGUGGCCUGACUUUAGGAUCAUCCAGAAAGCUUGGGAAUCCCAGGUGCUCAGCCUCAUCCCUGCCCCAGGACAUUGGAGUACCUGAGAUGGGACCCAAGCUCUCCAGGCGCCAAGGAGAAAGCCCCGCAUGUGAGGCUGCAGGGUGGAACGGGCGUGUUCUCUGCUGUGGCAGCACAGGCAGAUGCCGAGAGGACCCACACCAGCGGCCCUUCUGACCUCCAGGCUGCAGGGCCUGACUGCAGGGGACACCACAUGCAGCCUGGAAUGGAGCUGUCCAAAGGCCGAGAGACUCCCAGCAGAGCAUUUCGGGGCCUCUGAGGGGACCCAGCCCUAGGUCCCGUGUCACUUCCUGACCCUCUCUGCGUACACGGGAAGGGCUGGCUGCCCUGCCCUGCCCACUCAGUACUGACAAGCUUGGGUCGGCUGUGCCUGUGAAAGUCACAGCUGCCUGCUUCUGAGGUGGGCAAACAGGCCUGUCUCUCACCCAGGGACAUGGUCCUGGGCCCUAGAUUCUGUUCAAAGGCCACAAGGCUGAUUCCUCUGAUUACCUCAGGGAGACACUGGGCAGGUCCCUGUGCUAUUUACCUUUCCGCUCAGGAAACAGGAAGUCCAUCAGGCCCAAUAUCACUGUUCCCCAAAGGCCAGUUAUACAGACGGCACAGAUUAAAAAGAAAAAACAAAGACAACUGGACACAGCUCGAGAGGGAGCGCGAGGUGGGACUUUCCAGGGCCACUGGCUCCCUGCUCUCUCCUGUUUAUCAGAUGCAGGGAAUUCUGCUGAGCCUGAGUCCUUGGGGAACUUCUGGAUGUACAAUUUGGAAGACUUUCUCAAGUGCGGGAGUGAGGGGUGAAAGAAGAGCAGAAAGAGAGAACAGGGCUAGGGAGCAGAUGAGAGAGUUCAUGGAGUCACUGCUUAUUAGAGUCAACCCAGAUACACCCACACACCCAGCAGCAGGACACAGCAGGGAGAGCUGUACUAAUGUUGUGGGUAUCUGCAAGAUAAACCCUAGGAGCAUGACACUGAGAAGCAACAUCAGGAACAAAAGGCCGACAAACAGAAUCGUACCACUAUACAAAGACGCUGAAAAGGGGAAGAAAAAAGAGCUCCACACAGUCCAUAACAACGGCUAUUACCCACGGGAGGAGGGUGAGAUACAGAAGCAGCUGGGGCUGGGGGUGGAGGGCACAAUACUGUAUUUCUAAAAUUGCAUGUGAAAUGUUUAUUUUAUUAUUUUUAAAACCAUAUAAAUUCAUUAUAUGUCCUUUCCUUUUUUCCUCUCAGUACUGAGGAUCGAACCCAGGGCCUUCACACUGGGCUACAUCCUGGCCCUUUCAUUUUUUAUUUUGAGACGGGGUCUCGCUUAGUCACCCAGAUCCUCCUGCCUCAGCC
rnacentral:lncRNA from 1 species